rnacentral:lncRNA from 1 species
AGUAUUUUCUGUAGAGAAGGCUGUUCAGAGAGAGAAAGUCAAAUGAAAGAAGAACAUCUUGAAUUUAUACAAUGACUGGGAGAAGGCUUAAUGUGUUCUUAGAAUUGUAACUCCUAUUUGGAGAGAUUGCAAAAAGGAGCACCAGGGACAGAACCCUUGGAAGGGCCACAGGGGAUGGCAAAUGGCUCUCUCAGUUAGCUGGCUGAGCAUGUGAGCAGUCCGUACGACCAAGAUCAUUGUUGUCUCCAGCAGUGGAGAGCACCAGUUGCAGGAAUUUCAUCAGGGGCAUACAAGUCGUGGAUUUGACUGGGACAAUUUCUUGUACAUUUCCAUUGUUUUUAACAAGAGGAGGAAGCUGUGCUGUGAAGGAUCCUUUUUCAUCAUGAUUAUUGCAUCCACAGAAGCAGUGAUAAAUUCUAACAGAUAAUGCAACUCAGUCUACUUGGAUGUUCACACCUGAGACUGGAGAAGACCUGCUGCCUUCUGCAGAGCCAAACAUUCCUCACAUGCUCCUCCACAAUGCUAGUUAAUGCAGCAAGAAUAGUCUUAUAUAGACUAUAAACUCCUGGUACACUGUGUCUACAUUGCUCACUGCAGUAUCCCAACAUCUAAGACCAUGGUCUUAGAUGUCUGGUACAGGACUGGUGCUCAGUAUGCAUUGAAUGAAUAAAUGAAUGAAUAUAGCAAAGCAUUC